rnacentral:tRNA from 1 species
GCCCCAGUGGUAAUGGGUUGGCACUGGCCUGCCCAGCCAGGGAUUGUGGGUUCAAGUCCCAUCUGGGGGA